ACGGCCACAUCAAGUUGCAACACUGGCUCCCGUACGACCACCAAAGUUAAGCAACGUCAAGCCUGGUCAGUACCUAGAUGGUGUGACCGCUUGGGAAUACCAAGUGCUAUAA
rnacentral:rRNA from 1 species